UACGUAGGGGCAAGCGUUGUCCGGAUUUAUUGGGCGUAAAGAGCGUGUAGGCGGCCAGGUAGGUCCGCUGUGAAAACUCGAGGCUCAACCUCGAGAUGUCGGCGGAAACCACUUGGCUAGAGUCCGGAAGAGGAGAGUGGAAUUCCCGGUGUAGCGGUGAAAUGCGCAGAUAUCGGGAAGAACACCUAUGGCGAAGGCAGCUCUCUGGGACGGUACUGACGCUGAGACGCGAAAGCGUGGGGAGCGAACAGG
rnacentral:rRNA from 1 species